GAUGAAGAACGUAGCGAAAUGCGAUAAGUAAUGUGAAUUGCAGAAUUCAGUGAAUCAUCGAAUCUUUGAACGCACAUUGCGCCCGCCAGUAUUCUGGCGGGCAUGCCUGUUCGAGCGUCAUUUCAACCAUCAAGCCCCAGGCUUGUGUUGGGGACCUGCGGCUGCCGCAGGCCCUGAAAACCAGUGGCGGGCUCGCUGUCACACCGGGCGUAGUAGAUUUUAUCUCGCUCAGGGCGUGCUGCGGGUUCCGACCGUUAAAAAGCCUUUUUUACCCAAGGUUGACCUCGGAUCAGGUAGGAAGACCCGCUGAACUUAAGCAUAUCAAUAAGCGGAGGA
rnacentral:misc_RNA from 1 species